AGAAACUCAAUAAUGGAUAAAAACUGCCCUGAGUUAAAGACUUCAACUUUCAGAUGGAAAGGACGCACUAAAUGCCAAUGAAGAAUGAGAACAAAAUUAAAGUGUGAAUGAAACCAAAGGCACUCUCCACAGUAGAAGAUAGGAAAUGUACCAUUAUGUCUUUUCUUAAAAAGUUUUUCCAGGAAUAAAAUAAUUUCUGGGAAAUUUGUUCCAAAAGUAAAAACACAUGAUUUAAAAAG